rnacentral:rRNA from 1 species
GUGGGGAAUCUUAGACAAUGGGCGCAAGCCUGAUCUAGCCAUGCCGCGUAAGCGAUGAAGGCCUUAGGGUUGUAAAGCUCUUUCAGUGGGGAAGAUAAUGACUGUACCCACAGAAGAAGCCCCGGCUAACUCCGUGCCAGCAGCCGCGGUAAUACGGAGGGGGCUAGCGUUGUUCGGAAUUACUGGGCGUAAAGCGCACGUAGGCGGACUGGAAAGUCAGGGGUGAAAUCCCGGGGCUCAACCCCGGAACUGCCUUUGAAACUCCCAGUCUUGAGGUCGAGAGAGGUGAGUGGAAUUCCGAGUGUAGAGGUGAAAUUCGUAGAUAUUCGGAGGAACACCAGUGGCGAAGGCGGCUCACUGGCUCGAUACUGACGCUGAGGUGCGAAAGCGUGGGGAGCAAACAGGAUUAGAUACCCGAGUAGUCC